GGGGCCAUGGCUCAGGGGCAGAGCACUUGCUUCACAUUCAGAAGGUCCCAGGUUCAAUCCUUGGCAACUCCA
rnacentral:tRNA from 1 species